AUUUAUUCUCCACCAGACUUACGAAACUGCGAUCCAAGGCCACCCAGGUGCCCUACUUUGUCAUAGUGUGAGUGAGAGGAACUUGCCAGGGAUUGAAAACUACAGAACAUAGCUGUUUUGGAAAGAAUUGGAUUUGAAGGUAUUACACCCAUCCACAUCUGAUGCCAGAGGAGCACAUGAGCCACGCCUCUGCCACAGAGAGCUCCGUCCCAGUGGGUGAUAUAUUUUCUCUGAACUAUUCCUGGAAAAUAUUCCAGAAGACAAAUCAGCAACAGGAUGAAAGAGGCUCUCAGGGAUUGGACGAAGCAGCCUACCCUGGGGAGAGCCAUCUGCUUCCCUGAGUCCAAGGAUUCAAAUGCUGAUCACAUUCUGAAGCACCCUGCUGGACACCCCAGAAACAACAUUUAUUUAAUCUGGGCACCUGUGGGCCAGUCCAGAUGAUACACAGAAUUAACCAUCAUAUAGGUCUUCUUCUGCAGGUUCUUCUUAAUAGGAGCAGUUAGAAAAAUUUCCAGAAUUUUCGAUUAUUUUUUAAUGAUGACUAUGCCUGAUGCUGUUGUUAUGGCCCCAGGAGAACCAGGCUCCGAAAGUCCAAUUCCUUCUGAGGCAAGUCUACCACACAAUAUUUUUGAUGAUUGCUCCUCUUCUUGUUUGCUGGGUUCUGCUGGCUUUAUGCCAAACUACUCUAGAGGCUUUUGGUGAGUUUUUGAUACUUACCUUGCAAAAAGGAAACCAUGAUAAGACAGACAUAUUCCAUCUUACUGAACAGAUAGAUAAUGUACAUGUUAAGUACCACAGGGAAGUAAGUACACCACGAGGAUGAGGGCAACUCACUUCUUUACAGGGUUUCCACUGAGGCAUAGACUGUGAUGCUAUUAAUCAUGACAGGGACUCAGGAGGAGUAUCUGGGAUAAAAGAUCAGUUUGAUUGUGGGGGCUGAAUUUGACCUGUAAGAAACACACAGGUGAUGCACGCUGGUCGACAUCAACACUGCAUCCUUAAAAACAGCAAGCUUUCUGUUUGCAAUUUGGGAAGGGAAAAUAUCAGUCAAGUGCCUUUUACACUUUUUACAUUUAUGCAGUUGAUGUAUUUGUUUUCCAGAUCUUCCGUAAAUUUAGACACCUUGAUGUUCCUGAACCCUUUACUAUUCGGUGUUAUAAAACACCUUUUGCAUUCUGGGAAAGUCAGAGCUUCCUGUGUUGCCAAGGUGCCCUAACCAAACUGAUAUGCACUCUUUUGAGUCUCUAAGCCACACCUAUUUUUUUUUUCAAGGUUUUGCUUAAGACUAAUUCUGCUUGAGCCAUGUUUUGUGGCACACAUCUCAGCACUCUGGGAGGCUGAAGCAGGAGGAAUAAA